GACGGAGGGGGCAAGCGUUGUUCGGAAUUAUUGGGCGUAAAGGGCUCGUAGGCGGAUCGGUGUGUCUGACGUGAAAUCUCCACUGCUUAACAGGGAGGGGCCGUUGGAAACUGCUGAUCUUGAGUAUGGUAGAGGACCAUGGAAUUCCGGGUGUAGCGGUGGAAUGCGUAGAUAUCGGGAGGAACACCUGUGGCGAAAGCGGCGCACUGGACCACAACUGACGCUGAGGCGCGAAAGCUAGGGGAGCAAACAGG
rnacentral:rRNA from 1 species